rnacentral:RNase_P_RNA from 1 species
GUUGCAAACUAGCAUCUGGGGCCCACACAACGAGUAUCUGAUUACUCCACAAACCAUUGCCCCGGGAAGGUCUGAGAAUCGGCCGAGCCAGCUGUUUGUUGCGGCUUCAUUUCCCAGCAGGAAACCUGUGUGAUUGCAGGGCGAAAGUACCAGAAAUCCUGCUACCAGGCGUUGCCGUUGCCCACCAGUGACCGCCGCCUGGUUGGCAUUGAAACCUUUCGUGGCCAGCGUUUUUAGUGCGAUGUGCUUGCUACUAAGAAAAGGUUGGUUAUAGAUAUUAGAAAACUAAAUUUAAAAACAAU